UACGGUGGGGGCAAGCGUUGUUCGGAAUUACUGGGCGUAAAGGGCUCGUAGGCGGCCAACUAAGUCGGACGUGAAAUCCCUCGGCUUGACCGGGGAACUGCGUCCGAUACUGGAUGGCUUGAGUUCGGGAGAGGGAUGCGGAAUUCCAGGUGUAGCGGUGAAAUGCGUAGAUAUCUGGAGGAACACCGGUGGCGAAGGCGGCAUCCUGGACCGACACUGACGCUGAGGAGCGAAAGCCAGGGGAGCAAACGGG
rnacentral:rRNA from 1 species